rnacentral:rRNA from 1 species
AGUGAACGCUGGCGGUAGGCCUAACACAUGCAAGUCGAACGGCAGCACAGUAAGAGCUUGCUCUUACGGGUGGCGAGUGGCGGACGGGUGAGGAAUACAUCGGAAUCUACUUUUUCGUGGGGGAUAACGUAGGGAAACUUACGCUAAUACCGCAUACGACCUACGGGUGAAAGCAGGGGAUCUUCGGACCUUGCGCGAUUGAAUGAGCCGAUGUCGGAUUAGCUAGUUGGCGGGGUAAAGGCCCACCAAGGCGACGAUCCGUAGCUGGUCUGAGAGGAUGAUCAGCCAAACUGGAACUGAGACACGGUCCAGACUCCUACGGGAGGCAGCAGUGGGGAAUAUUGGACAAUGGGCGCAGGCCUGAUCCAGCCAUACCGCGUGGGUGAAGAAGGCCUUCGGGUUGUAAAGCCCUUUUGUUGGGAAAGAAAAGCAGCAGGUUAAUACCCCGCUGUUCUGGCGGUACCCAAAGAAUAAGCACCGGCUAACUUCGUG